UUAAACUAAUCCAAAAAACUAAGAAUUCACUCAAAUAUCUCUCUCUGUCUCUCAGAGGACAGCGUCUUCAGUUUCUCCAGUUCUCUUCAGGAGAUACAGGAAAUGGACUUUGACCCCAUAAGUGAAGGACAGGUCAGAGGUCAUGACUGGCAGAAGUCGAAAAAGGGCGCCAGGAGGAGGGAUCGGGGGGAGGAGGUGAGGCAGAGCGGGACUGAACAGGACAGCACCUGUUCACCUGGACAGAUCCGUAUGUGUGCAGGUAGGACCGCCUUCAGACCGAACUCACCACGCCAUGAUGUCACAGCCAUCAGCAUUGUGUCAUCGUAAACAGGGCGAGACUCAUCAGCGUCAGAUUGGUUCCAGACAGAGUGGAUGGAAGUGAAUGUUGUGUUGGGUUUUGGGAUCAAUCAUCUCCCUCUGACAUCACCCUGACAUCCCUGUGACAUCACAA